CAGAGAGUUUAAAACUGUUCUUAGACCUAUUGUAAGAUGUUCUGGUCUUGGUAGUGGAUGUCUUUAUCUAAAUAACAACAGACUUGUGCUCAGGAGUGUUUACUCUUGACCCUGAAGGCCAGCUGGCAGAUGUGGCUACCAAAUACAGGGAGGAUUAAGAAAACUUUUCUUAAGCCACACUCCCCCUCUUAGGUACAAACCAUGGGCAAGUCGGCUGGCUCCAGCUGCAGACCCGCAAAGACAGCCCCUCACAUAUGGCGCCCAACGCGCGGAUAAUACAGAUGGCACCGCAACAUGGACCUGAGCAUGGGGGACAGAAGUAAUGGACACCGCAGAGGAGCAGACACCGCUGGUGUAGAAGUGUGGAGAGAGCUCUCGGAUGAAAGAAGUAAAGUGCGUUCCAGGUUACAACCCAUCAUAGCAGAAAAGUCACAGUGGCCAGCCCUCGAGGGAUUCUUGCCGCUUUCGUCAUGAAGGGACCAGCCCCCAGUUUUACCCAUUACGGGCUAACAUGUGCUCUUCUGACCUUGCCGCUCCUGUCCUGGUCUCUAGGUCAGAUGCCGUCCUCGUGGCAAGGAACCAAUCAGAAGUUAUCUGUCGGGGCUGUGCUUUACGGCUCUGGG